rnacentral:rRNA from 1 species
AGAGUUUGAUCCUGGCUCAGAUUGAACGCUGGCGGCAGGCCUAACACAUGCAAGUCGAGCGGUAGCACAGAGAGCUUGCUCUCGGGUGACGAGCGGCGGACGGGUGAGUAAUGUCUGGGAAACUGCCUGAUGGAGGGGGAUAACUACUGGAAACGGUAGCUAAUACCGCAUAACGUCGCAAGACCAAAGUGGGGGACCUUCGGGCCUCAUGCCAUCAGAUGUGCCCAGAUGGGAUUAGCUAGUAGGUGGGGUAACGGCUCACCUAGGCGACGAUCCCUAGCUGGUCUGAGAGGAUGACCAGCCACACUGGAACUGAGACACGGUCCAGACUCCUACGGGAGGCAGCAGUGGGGAAUAUUGCACAAUGGGCGCAAGCCUGAUGCAGCCAUGCCGCGUGUGUGAAGAAGGCCUUCGGGUUGUAAAGCACUUUCAGCGGGGAGGAAGGCGGUGAGGUUAAUAACCUCACCGAUUGACGUUACCCGCAGAAGAAGCACCGGCUAACUCCGUGCCAGCAGCCGCGGUAAUACGGAGGGUGCAAGCGUUAAUCGGAAUUACUGGGCGUAAAGCGCACGCAGGCGGUCUGUCAAGUCGGAUGUGAAAUCCCCGGGCUCAACCUGGGAACUGCAUUCGAAACUGGCAGGCUAGAGUCUUGUAGAGGGGGGUAGAAUUCCAGGUGUAGCGGUGAAAUGCGUAGAGAUCUGGAGGAAUACCGGUGGCGAAGGCGGCCCCCUGGACAAAGACUGACGCUCAGGUGCGAAAGCGUGGGGAGCAAACAGGAUUAGAUACCCUGGUAGUCCACGCUGUAAACGAUGUCGAUUUGGAGGUUGUGCCCUUGAGGCGUGGCUUCCGGAGCUAACGCGUUAAAUCGACCGCCUGGGGAGUACGGCCGCAAGGUUAAAACUCAAAUGAAUUGACGGGGGCCCGCACAAGCGGUGGAGCAUGUGGUUUAAUUCGAUGCAACGCGAAGAACCUUACCUGGUCUUGACAUCCACAGAACUUUCCAGAGAUGGAUUGGUGCCUUCGGGAACUGUGAGACAGGUGCUGCAUGGCUGUCGUCAGCUCGUGUUGUGAAAUGUUGGGUUAAGUCCCGCAACGAGCGCAACCCUUAUCCUUUGUUGCCAGCGGUUAGGCCGGGAACUCAAAGGAGACUGCCAGUGAUAAACUGGAGGAAGGUGGGGAUGACGUCAAGUCAUCAUGGCCCUUACGACCAGGGCUACACACGUGCUACAAUGGCAUAUACAAAGAGAAGCGACCUCGCGAGAGCAAGCGGACCUCAUAAAGUAUGUCGUAGUCCGGAUUGGAGUCUGCAACUCGACUCCAUGAAGUCGGAAUCGCUAGUAAUCGUAGAUCAGAAUGCUACGGUGAAUACGUUCCCGGGCCUUGUACACACCGCCCGUCACACCAUGGGAGUGGGUUGCAAAAGAAGUAGGUAGCUUAACCUUCGGGAGGGCGCUUACCACUUUGUGAUUCAUGACUGGGGUGAAGUCGUAACAAGGUAACC